rnacentral:rRNA from 1 species
AUUGAACGCUGGCGGCAUGCCUUACACAUGCAAGUCGAACGGUAACAGGUCUUCGGAUGCUGACGAGUGGCGAACGGGUGAGUAAUACAUCGGAACGUGCCCGAGAGUGGGGGAUAACGAGGCGAAAGCUUUGCUAAUACCGCAUACGAUCUCAGGAUGAAAGCAGGGGACCGCAAGGCCUUGCGCUCACGGAGCGGCCGAUGGCAGAUUAGGUAGUUGGUGGGAUAAAAGCUUACCAAGCCGACGAUCUGUAGCUGGUCUGAGAGGACGACCAGCCACACUGGGACUGAGACACGGCCCAGACUCCUACGGGAGGCAGCAGUGGGGAAUUUUGGACAAUGGGCGCAAGCCUGAUCCAGCCAUGCCGCGUGCAGGAUGAAGGCCUUCGGGUUGUAAACUGCUUUUGUACGGAACGAAAAGCCUCUGGUUAAUACCUGGGGUCCAUGACGGUACCGUAAGAAUAAGCACCGGCUAACUACGUGCCAGCCGCCGCAGUAA